rnacentral:rRNA from 1 species
UACGUAGGUGGCAAGCGUUGUCCGGAUUUACUGGGCGUAAAGAGCGCGCAGGCGGUCGUUCAAGUCGCGUGUGAAAGCCCCCGGCUCAACUGGGGAGGGUCACGCGAUACUGAUCGACUGGAAGGCAGGAGAGGGUAGUGGAAUUCCCGGUGUAGUGGUGAAAUGCGUAGAUAUCGGGAGGAACACCUGAGGCGAAGGCGGGCUACUGGGCCGAUACUGACGCUGAUGCGCGAAAGCCAGGGGAGCGAACGGG